rnacentral:rRNA from 1 species
CAGUCGCCACGGUAAUACAGAGGGUGCGAGCGUUAAUCGGAUUUACUGGGCGUAAAGCGUGCGUAGGCGGCUUCUUAAGUCGGAUGUGAAAUCCCUGAGCUUAACUUAGGAAUUGCAUUCGAUACUGGGAAGCUAGAGUAUGGGAGAGGAUGGUAGAAUUCCAGGUGUAGCGGUGAAAUGCGUAGAGAUCUGAAGGAAUACCGAUGGCGAAGGCAGCCAUCUGGCCUAAUACUGACGCUGAGGUACGAAAGCAUGGGGAGCAAACAGGAUUAGAUACCCCUGUAGUCCCUGUCUCUUAUAC